CAGUAGCCGCGGGAAUACAGAGGGUGCGAGCGUUAAUCGGAUUUACUGGGCGUAAAGCGUGCGUAGGCGGCUUUUUAAGUCGGAUGUGAAAUCCCUGAGCUUAACUUAGGAAUUGCAUUCGAUACUGGGAAGCUAGAGUAUGGGAGAGGAUGGUAGAAUUCCAGGUGUAGCGGUGAAAUGCGUAGAGAUCUGGAGGAAUACCGAUGGCGAAGGCAGCCAUCUGGCCUAAUACUGACGCUGAGGUACGAAAGCAUGGGGAGCAAACAGGAUUAGAUACCCGAGUAGUCCCUGUCUCUUAUAU
rnacentral:rRNA from 1 species